rfam:Cavia porcellus supercont2_65 genomic scaffold, whole genome shotgun sequence.
GGGGAUUUAGCUUAGCGGCGUAAGCGCCUGCCUUGCAAGCAGGCAGUUGUAAGUUCGAUCUCCGGUACCCA